AUCGUCCUAUUUGAGGGAUGCACAACCAUGCCAGGGAUCGCUAAGUGAGGCAUGUUCUGCUGACACCCUAUAUGCAACACAAAGAGGUGUUUUACUAAUAUGUGAAACGUCUCAAUUUUUGGAGGC